rnacentral:misc_RNA from 1 species
UGAUGGCACAGCCUUUGCGACCAGCUCGGCCAGUUCGACCAACACGGUGAACAUAAUCCUCAUAGUGAUUUGGGACAUCAAAAUUGAUCACCAGUUCAAGCUCCUUCACAUCUAAGCCCCUGGCUGCAACACUUGUGGCAAUCAACAAAUUACAUACAUUGCUUUUGAAAUCAGAAAUGGUAGACUCACGGUCUGUUUGAUCUUUAGCCCCAUGAAGUGAAAGGCAAGGAUAACCAUGCUUGAGCAAAUCCCUAAACAAAGCAUCACAUUUAUCCUGUGAUUGGACAAAUAUCAAAAUUUUUCCCUUCUCAUACCAUUCACCAAGUAGUUCUAGGAGUCUCAAGAACCUGUCACUUUCUGGCCUUACCUCAACUAACUGAGUUAUGUCCUUGUUCACCACACUCCUCCCACCAACCUGAAUUUCCACAGGUUUGUUCAGUACUUUUCGAGCUAAAAUCUCAACCUGCCGAGGAAAAGUAGCAGAAAAGAGUACAGUCUGACGAUCUGGUCGAAUAUUCUGGACAAUUCUAGUGAUCUGAGGUUCAAAGCCCAUGUCAAACAUCCUAUCAGCUUCAUCCAUUACUAGAUAAGUAACUCUACGCAGAUUUGUAAUUUUACCCCCACUUGUGCAAAGUAUGUCAAUCAUCCUACCUGGCGUGCAAACAACAAUCUCAGUACCCCGCUUUAAUUCACUGAUCUGUUGAGCAACACCAGAGCCUCCAUAUACAGGCACACAUCUAAUUCCCAGUACCUUGGCAAACUUCUUUAUGUCACUGUGGAUCUGUUGAACAAGCUCCCUAGUAGGCGCCAUUAUAAGCCCAAUUGGCCCAUCUCCAGCUUCCACAGGUGGCUGGUCCUUGAUGUGCCUCAGCAUUGGCAGCACAAAAGCGAGGGUUUUGCCAGAGCCAGUUUUUGCAAUGCCUAUGCAGUCUCUGCCACUCAUAAUUAUUGGCAGCGCCUGAGCUUGAAUCGGCAUUGGCUUCUCAUAGUUAAGCUUCUUUAUUGUGUCCAAAAUUUUACUUGACAGUCCAGUUUGGUGCCAUGUUUUAACUGGUUUUGGAACAUCCUUUCCAUGUAUUUUCAGUUCUAAUAGUUUCCUAUAAGUAGCAACCUCUUCAGGGUUCAUCCUCAAUACCUCCUUCACUUCAAUAUAGAAAUUUUUCCGGAAAGGUUUGUAAUCAAUCUUCGAGUGAUCAACAACAGAUAGCUUCUCAGCUUUCGUUUUCUUCACCCUCUUCAUGAACUCGUCAUCAUCUUCAUCAUCUAAAGAAUUUUCAUCAUUCUCAAGGUCCCCAUAAUCUGAAUCAGAAUCUUCACCAGGAAUUAUUCUCCCAAGAGAUUUAUUAGAGCCUUUCUUCAGCUGCUCUCCAUUGCUUCCUUCCUCCUUUUUGUCCUUCUUCUUUAACUCCACUUUAUUAUCAUCAACAGCUUGAGUAAUUGCUGCAUUGUUUAGCUUCUCAACUUCAGGUAAGACCAUGGAAUUCAUGAAAGCAUCCAAUGGAUCAAUUUCCUCAUCCCCAAUAACAUCAUCACCAUCAUUCUCUAAAGCAGCUGUCCCAUUUUUAAAGUCUACCACCAUUGCAUCUCCAACAUCUUUAUCAGGCUUUGAAUUUUCAUCUAGUUCCAUGUCUGUUUCUGAUGUCCCUGUAGGAGGUGCUUCAUCAUCAUCAGAAUCUCCUUCAAGGGUCCAAGUUUUACCUGUAUUGGGUUUAUCUACAUUAGCUGCUUCCCCAUGCUUGUCUCUCUCGGAUUCUUCCUUUUUCCUCCUCAACUCUUGCCACUCCUGAACUCUUCUUCUCCUCUUCUCUAUUUCCUCAUCCAAUCGCUUCUGUUCAUCCUCUAAUUCAUCCUC